rnacentral:sRNA from 1 species
CUGAGUGCCUAUGAUGCUCGAUAUGACAAGGCGAGUUGUUGGCGCCUAAAAAAAAAUAAAAUCUCAAGCAAUUUUUGUAUUCCAAAAGAUUGAAUGAUGGCACCAUAUGUUUUAAUAAACGGCGAUAGUAAGCGGCAAUAAGAUCAGCUGCUUAGCUAAAUGGGGAUAGCAUUUUUCUCCAUACAAACUAAAGGCCGGUACAUAGCGAAACAAUUAAAGGUGGUCUCAUUUGUACAACAACCACAAAUCAACACAUCAACACUGGUAAUGACAUUUAUGUGCUUGUGUGCAUACGUGUGCAUAUAUGAGCAGAGAAUAUGCGAGAAAGAAGACAACAUCAAAGAGAAACGAAACAAAAAUCAAACAUCUUAAUACUGUCAAAUCUGGCCGGUUGUUAACAGCUGCUCGCGGGAGACCACCUUAUUAAAUCCGCCUUGAGGCCGGUGCUAUAUUCGAUUUUCGCGUUGAAACUCCAUAUAAAAAACAAAAGGAAAAUUUGACGAAAUGUGUUCGUUUCGUCAUAACUAGUUUUUCAUCUAGGGAAAAUUUACAUUUCGGGACGCCCAUGGAGAGCAUAACCACAGUCGCCGAGCAACAAGUAAUUUUCCUACGCAAAAUAAACGCGAUCGCCAAACUUCUAAUUGUAACUGAGUGUGUGUUAGUGUUAGCGAUGUUGUUCACAUGUAUUUACUCUGGGUGGAAAAAAAUAAAGUGCUUGUGAAUGCAUAAAUAA